UUCCGGUUGAUCCCGCCGGACCUGACUGCUAUCGGAUUGAUACUAAGCCAUGCGAGUCAUUGUAGCAAUACAAGGCAGACGGCUCAGUAACGCGUAGUCAACCUACCCUAUGGACGGGAAUAACCUCGGGAAACUGAGAAUAAUGCUCGAUAGAACACUAUACCUGGAAUGGUUUGUGUUCCAAAUGAUUUAUCGCCGUAGGAUGGGACUGCGGCCUAUCAGUUUGUUGGUGAGGUAAUGGCCCACCAAGACUAUUACAGGUACGGGCUCUGAGAGGAGUGGCCCGGAGAUGGGUACUGAGACACGGACCCAGGCCCUAUGGGGCGCAGCAGGCGAGAAAACUUUGCAAUGUGCGAAAGCACGACAAGGUUAAUCCGAGUGGUUUCUGCUAAAGGAACCUUUUGUUAGUCCUAGAAACACUGAUGAAUAAGGGGUGGGCAAGUUCUGGUGUCAGCCGCCGCGGUAAAACCAGCACCUCAAGUGGUCAGGAUGAUUAUUGGGCCUAAAGCAUCCGUAGCCGGCUUUGUAAGUUUUCGGUUAAAUCCAUGCGCUUAACGUAUGGGCUGCCGGGAAUACUGCAAAGCUAGGGAGUGGGAGAGGUAGACGGUACUCGGUAGGAAGGGGUAAAAUCCUUUGAUCUAUUGAUGACCACCUGUGGCGAAGGCGGUCUACCAGAACACGUCCGACGGUGAGGGAUGAAAGCUGGGGGAGCAAACCGGAUUAGAUACCCGGGUAGUCCCAGCUGUAAACUAUGCAAACUCAGUGAUGCAUUGGCUUGAUGCCAAUGCAGUGCUGCAGGGAAGCCGUUAAGUUUGCCGCCUGGGAAGUACGUACGCAAGUAUGAAACUUAAAGGAAUUGGCGGGGGAGCACCACAAGGGGUGAAGCCUGCGGUUCAAUUGGAUUCAACGCCGGA
rnacentral:rRNA from 1 species